UCCGUGAUAGCUCAGUGGUAGAGCAUCGAACCCGGUAUUCGGAGGUCGCAGGUUCGAUUCCGGCUCACGGCA